CCUACGGGAGGCAGCAGUGAGGAAUAUUGGUCAAUGGGCGAGAGCCUGAACCAGCCAAAUCGCGUGAAGGACGACGGCCCUAUGGGUUGUAAACUUCUUUUACAGGGGAAUAAAGUGCGCCACGUGUGGUGUUUUGUAUGUACCCUGUGAAUAAGCAUCGGCUAACUCCGUGCCAGCAGCCGCGGUAAUACGGAGGAUGCGAGCGUUAUCCGGAUUUAUUGGGUUUAAAGGGUGCGUAGGCGGGACCAUAAGUCAGCGGUGAAAGUUUUCGGCUCAACCGGAAAAUUGCCGUUGAAACUGUGGUUCUUGAGUGCAGAAGAGGUAGGCGGAAUUCGUUGUGUAGCGGUGAAAUGCGUAGAUAUAACGAAGAACACCAAUUGCGUAGGCAGCUUACCAUACUGCAACUGACGCUGAGGCACGAAAGUGUGGGUAUCAAACAGGAUUAGAUACCCUGGUAGUCCACACAGUAAACGAUGAAUACUAGCUGUUUGCGAUACACUGCAAGUGGCCGAGCGAAAGCAUUAAGUAUUCCACCUGGGGAGUACGCCGGCAACGGUGAAACUCAAAGGAAUUGACGGGGGCCCGCACAAGCGGAGGAACAUGUGGUUUAAUUCGAUGAUACGCGAGGAACCUUACCCGGGCUUGAAUUGCAUUUGAAUACAGUGGAAACAUUGUAGCCAGCAAUGGCAAAUGUGAAGGUGCUGCAUGGUUGUCGUCAGCUCGUGCCGUGAGGUGUCGGCUUAAGUGCCAUAACGAGCGCAACCCUCAUCACUAGUUACCAUCAGGUCAAGCUGGGGACUCUAGUGAGACUGCCGGCGUAAGCUGUGAGGAAGGUGGGGAUGACGUCAAAUCAGCACGGCCCUUACGUCCGGGGCGACACACGUGUUACAAUGGGGGGUACAGCGGG
rnacentral:rRNA from 1 species